rnacentral:rRNA from 1 species
UACAGAGGGGGCAAGCGUUGUUCGGAAUUACUGGGCGUAAAGGGCGCGUAGGCGGCCUGUUAAGUCGAACGUGAAAUCCCUGGGCUCAACCCAGGAACUGCGUCCGAUACUGGCAGGCUUGAAUUCGGGAGAGGGAUGCGGAAUUCCAGGUGUAGCGGUGAAAUGCGUAGAUAUCUGGAGGAACACCGGUGGCGAAGGCGGCAUCCUGGACCGGUAUUGACGCUGAGGAGCGAAAGCCAGGGGAGCAAACGGG